GACGAACGCUGGCGGCGUGCCUAAUACAUGCAAGUAGAACGCACAGUUUAUACCGUAGCUUGCUACACCAUAGACUGUGAGUUGCGAACGGGUGAGUAACGCGUAGGUAACCUGCCUGGUAGCGGGGGAUAACUAUUGGAAACGAUAGCUAAUACCGCAUAAUAUUAAUUAUUGCAUGAUAAUUAAUUGAAAGGUGCAAUUGCACCACUACCAGAUGGACCUGCGUUGUAUUAGCUAGUAGGUGAGGUAACGGCUCACCUAGGCGACGAUACAUAGCCGACCUGGGAGGGGGAUCGGCCAAAAUGGGACUGAGAAACGGCCCAGACUCCUACGGGAGGCAGCAGUAGGGGAUCUUCGGCAAUGGACGAAAGUCUGGCCGAGCAACGCCGCGUGAGUGAAGAAAGUUUUCGGAUCGUAAAGCUCUGUUGUAAGAGAAGGACGAGUGUGAGAGUGGAAAGUUCACACUGUGACGGUAUCUUACCAGAAAGGGACGGCUAACUACGUG
rnacentral:rRNA from 1 species